rnacentral:rRNA from 1 species
ACGAGCGCUGGCGGCGUGCUUAACACAUGCAAGUCGAACGGAAAGGCCCUGCUUUUGUGGGGUGCUCGAGUGGCGAACGGGUGAGUAACACGUGAGUAACCUGCCCUUGACUUUGGGAUAACUUCAGGAAACUGGGGCUAAUACCGGAUAGGAGCUCCUGCUGCAUGGUGGGGGUUGGAAAGUUUCGGCGGUUGGGGAUGGACUCGCGGCUUAUCAGCUUGUUGGUGGGGUAGUGGCUUACCAAGGCUUUGACGGGUAGCCGGCCUGAGAGGGUGACCGGCCACAUUGGGACUGAGAUACGGCCCAGACUCCUACGGGAGGCAGCAGUGGGGAAUAUUGCACAAUGGGCGGAAGCCUGAUGCAGCAACGCCGCGUGCGGGAUGACGGCCUUCGGGUUGUAAACCGCUUUCGCCUGUGACGAAGCGUGAGUGACGGGAAUGGGUAAAGAAGCACCGGCUAACUACGU